rnacentral:rRNA from 1 species
AGAACGAACGCUGGCGGCAUGCCUAACACAUGCAAGUCGAACGAGACCCCCGUCUUCGGAUGGCGGGUCUAGUGGCGCACGGGUGCGUAACGCGUGGGAAUCUGCCCUUAGGUUCGGAAUAACAGUUAGAAAUGACUGCUAAUACCGGAUAAUGACGUAAGUCCAAAGAUUUAUCGCCUAGGGAUGAGCCCACGUAAGAUUAGCUAGUUGGUGGGGUAAAGGCCUACCAAGGCAACGAUCUUUAGCUGGUCUGAGAGGAUGAUCAGCCACACUGGGACUGAGACACGGCCCAGACUCCUACGGGAGGCAGCAGUGGGGAAUAUUGGACAAUGGGCGAAAGCCUGAUCCAGCAAUGCCGCGUGAGUGAUGAAGGCCUUAGGGUUGUAAAGCUCUUUUACCCGGGAUGAUAAUGACAGUACCGGGAGAAUAAGCCCGGCUAACUCCGUGCCAGCAGCCGC